rnacentral:rRNA from 1 species
GUCUAUGGCCACACCACCUUGAAUGUGGAAGCUAAGCAGGGUAAGCAGGGUUGGGCCUGGUUAGUACUUGGACAGGAGAAAGAUCUUCAGAGGAGACUGCUCAGAGACAAGGAGUUUGUAGGUA